GAUUGAACGCUGGCGGCAGGCCUAACACAUGCAAGUCGAGCGGAAACGGCAGUAUUGAAGCUUCGGUGGAUUUACUGGACGUCGAGCGGCGGACGGGUGAGUAACGGCUGGGAACCUGCCCUGACGAGGGGGAUAACCGUUGGAAACGACGGCUAAUACCGCAUAAUGUCUUAGUUCAUUACGAGCUGGGACCAAAGGUGGCCUCUACAUGUAAGCUAUCGCGUUGGGAUGGGCCCAGUUAGGAUUAGCUAGUUGGUAAGGUAAUGGCUUACCAAGGCAACGAUCCUUAGCUGGUUUGAGAGGAUGAUCAGCCACACUGGGACUGAGACACGGCCCAGACUCCUACGGGAGGCAGCAGUGGGGAAUAUUGCACAAUGGGGGAGACCCUGAUGCAGCCAUGCCGCGUGUGUGAAGGAGGCCUUCGGGUUGUAAAGCACUUUCAGCAGUGAGGAAGGUCGUGUACUUAAUACGUGCACGGCUUGACGUUAGCUGCAGAAGAAGCACCGGCUAACUCCGUGCCAGCAGCCGCGGUAAUACGGAGGGUGCGAGCGUUAAUCGGAAUUACUGGGCGUAAAGCGCAUGCAGGCGGUUUGUUAAGUCAGAUGUGAAAGCCCGGGGCUCAACCUCGGAACCGCAUUUGAAACUGGCAGGCUAGAGUCUUGUAGAGGGGGGUAGAAUUUCAGGUGUAGCGGUGAAAUGCGUAGAGAUCUGAAGGAAUACCAGUGGCGAAGGCGGCCCCCUGGACAAAGACUGACGCUCAGAUGCGAAAGCGUGGGUAGCAAACAGGAUUAGAUACCCUGGGUAGUCCACGCCGUAAACGCUGUCUACUUGGAGGUUGAGGUUUUAGACUUUGGCUUUCGGCGCUAACGCAUUAAGUAGACCGCCUGGGGAGUACGGCCGCAAGGUUAAAACUCAAAUGAAUUGACGGGGGCCCGCACAAGCGGUGGAGCAUGUGGUUUAAUUCGAUGCAACGCGAAGAACCUUACCUACUCUUGACAUCCAGCGAAGCCUUUAGAGAUAGAGGCGUGCCUUCGGGAGCGCUGAGACAGGUGCUGCAUGGCUGUCGUCAGCUCGUGUUGUGAAAUGUUGGGUUAAGUCCCGCAACGAGCGCAACCCUUAUCCUUGUUUGCCAGCACAUAAUGGUGGGAACUCCAGGGAGACUGCCGGUGAUAAACCGGAGGAAGGUGGGGACGACGUCAAGUCAUCAUGGCCCUUACGAGUAGGGCUACACACGUGCUACAAUGGCAGAUACAGAGGGCAGCGAGACAGCGAUGUUUAGCGAAUCCCUUAAAGUUUGUCGUAGUCCGGAUUGGAGUCUGCAACUCGACUCCAUGAAGUCGGAAUCGCUAGUAAUCGUGGAUCAGAAUGCCACGGUGAAUACGUUCCCGGGCCUUGUACACACCGCCCGUCACACCAUGGGAGUGGGCUGCACCAGAAGUAGAUAGCUUAACCUUCGGGAGGGCGUUUACCAUGGUGUGGUUCAUGACUGGGGU
rnacentral:rRNA from 1 species